rnacentral:rRNA from 1 species
UACGGGGGGAGCAAGCGUUGUUCGGAUUUACUGGGCGUAAAGGGCGCGUAGGCGGCCAGCACAAGUCAGUUGUGAAAUCUCCGAGCUUAACUCGGAAAGGUCAACUGAUACUGUGCGGCUAGAGUGCGGAAGGGGCAACUGGAAUUCUUGGUGUAGCGGUGAAAUGCGUAGAUAUCAAGAGGAACACCUGCGGCGAAGGCGGGUUGCUGGGCCGACACUGACGCUGAGGCGCGGAAGCCAGGGGAGCGAACGGG